rfam:Aschersonia aleyrodis RCEF 2490 scaffold_51, whole genome shotgun sequence.
UACCUGGUUGAUUCUGCCAGUAGUCAUAUGCUUGUCUCAAAGAUUAAGCCAUGCAUGUCUGAGUAUAAGCAAUUAUACAGCGAAACUGCGAAUGGCUCAUUAUAUAAGUUAUCGUUUAUUUGAUAGUACCUUGCUACUUGGAUAACCGUGGUAAUUCUAGAGCUAAUACAUGCUAAAAAUCCCGACUCCGGAAGGGAUGUAUUUAUUAGAUUAAAAGCCAAUGCCCUCUGGGCUCUCUGGUGAUUCAUGAUAACUUCUCGAAUCGCACGGCCUUGCGCCGGCGAUGGUUCAUUCAAAUUUCUUCCCUAUCAACUUUCGAUGUUUGGGUAGUGGCCAAACAUGGUUGCAACGGGUAACGGAGGGUUAGGGCUCGACCCCGGAGAAGGAGCCUGAGAAACGGCUACUACAUCCAAGGAAGGCAGCAGGCGCGCAAAUUACCCAAUCCCGACUCGGGGAGGUAGUGACAAUAAAUACUGAUACAGGGCCCUUUCGGGUCUUGUAAUUGGAAUGAGUACAAUUUAAAUCCCUUAACGAGGAACAAUUGGAGGGCAAGUCUGGUGCCAGCAGCCGCGGUAAUUCCAGCUCCAAUAGCGUAUAUUAAAGUUGUUGUGGUUAAAAAGCUCGUAGUUGAACCUUGGGCCUGGCGGGCUGGUCCGCCUCACCGCGUGCACUAGUCCCGCCGGGCCUUUCCCUCUGCGGAGCCCCAUGCCCUUCACUGGGCGUGGCGGGGAAGCAGGACGUUUACUUUGAAAAAAUUAGAGUGCUCCAGGCAGGCGUAUGCUCGAAUACAUUAGCAUGGAAUAAUGAAAUAGGACGCGCGGUUCUAUUUUGUUGGUUUCUGGGACCGCCGUAAUGAUUAAUAGGGACAGUCGGGGGCAUCAGUAUUCAAUUGUCAGAGGUGAAAUUCUUGGAUUUAUUGAAGACUAACAACUGCGAAAGCAUCUGCCAAGGAUGUUUUCAUUAAUCAGGAACGAAAGUUAGGGGAUCGAAGACGAUCAGAUACCGUCGUAGUCUUAACCAUAAACUAUGCCGACUAGGGAUCGGACGAUGUUAUUCAUUGACUCGUUCGGCACCUUACGAGAAAUCAAAGUGCGUGGGCUCCAGGGGGAGUAUGGUCGCAAGGCUGAAACUUAAAGAAAUUGACGGAAGGGCACCACCAGGGGUAAACGUGCACUGUCUAAGCCGCAGUCAACUCUGCUCCAGAAAGCCGCCCGAAAGGGUCGGUGGUCGCCCCCCAACGCUGGCUAGUCCCGUCCGCCACCGCGCGGCGGGGCAACACCCUCAAACUGCCGGGGAACUCCUAAAGCCCUCGCUCCGGACGGCGCUGGGAAACCAGCGUCCGCUCACCAGGUUAACGACCUCGGGCAUCGGAAGCAACGCGGGGGAUGCUACAAUGGACGAUCCGCAGCCAAGCCCCUACGUGCGACAGCAUACGGGGAAGGUUCAGAGACUUGACGGGGGUGGGUCGGGGACGCAUGUCGGGACGCCUGAAGGCGCUGGAACACCGGCACGAGGGCGCUGGAGUCUCGCCCGCGAGGGGCUGGCACCUCCGCCUGAAGAGCGCUGGGAUCCCGGCGACCGAGACGCCCGCAUCGCCCACCGGCUUGAGGUAAAGUCCGCUGUCGCGCCAAAAGCGCGCCCCAUGCGAUGGAUCAUCGCUCGGCAACCACAACGGGAGCCUGCGGCUUAAUUUGACUCAACACGGGGAAACUCACCAGGUUAACACAGCGGGCAACGCUUGUUGCGUGUCUGGGCCUGGAAUAGUGAGAGCCCGCCAGGGGGCGGCCUCGCUAGUAUUCGUCCUUAACCCGCGCGGGGGGAGCCCCCCUACUCUGGGCGCAGGGAGCGGUCGCGCUACGGCGCGCCGCUUGGGCGGUGCAACACCAGCUGGUACAGGGAACGCCGACUACCCCUCGGGGGGCAAGGGCCGAUCCUGUGGCGAGUCCGGGCUGCGCCGGACCGUCGCAACGCACGCCAAGCGGUGGGCUGGCUCAGGCUGGCUUAAGGUACGUGCUAAUCCCACGGGGCAACCGUGGCCGCCCUGAAUAGUUCCGAGUUUUACGAAGCAGGGCGGGGGCGCACCUCCGGGUGCGCUCGUCCGAGUCCACAGCGGGCUCGAGUGCCAGACACAAUGAGGAUUGACAGAUUGAGAGCUCUUUCUUGAUUUUGUGGGUGGUGGUGCAUGGCCGUUCUUAGUUGGUGGAGUGAUUUGUCUGCUUAAUUGCGAUAACGAACGAGACCUUAACCUGCUAAAUAGCCCGUAUUGCUCAGGCAGUACGCCGGCUUCUUAGAGGGACUAUCGGCUCAAGCCGAUGGAAGUUUGAGGCAAUAACAGGUUGACCUACACAGGCCUGUAGUAGUGGCGCCUCCGGUGGGACAGAGGGAAGAAGACCGCUAGUCCAACAGCAUAACCCCCGUGAAGGGAGCCCUUCGGAAUCGGGCGGGGGGGCGGCCACUGCCCGUGGCCGCUCGCUGUGGGCGACACCACCUGGUACAGAAGACGCCCACGGGGCCAAUUCUGUGGCGAGUCCGGGUUGCGCCGGACCGUCGCAACGCGCGCUAAGGGGUGGGCCGGCGUCCUCUGCGGAGGCCCGGCUUAAGGUACGUGCUAAUCCCACGGGAAGGAGAAACCGUGCCGACACACAGAGCCCCGAUCGGCGAAGUGUGCCGGGGCGUCCCUGCGCAGCGUCGCAGGGCGCCGGUCUCGGGGGCACACAGGCUGCUUCAGCAUGUCCUGGCCCCCCGAGGAAAUGCUGUGAUGCCCUUAGAUGUUCUGGGCCGCACGCGCGCUACACUGACGGAGCCAGCGAGUACGCCCUUGGCCGGAAGGCCCGGGUAACCUUGUUAAACUCCGUCGUGCUGGGGAUAGAGCAUUGCAAUUAUUGCUCUUCAACGAGGAAUCCCUAGUAAGCGCAAGUCAUCAGCUUGCGUUGAUUACGUCCCUGCCCUUUGUACACACCGCCCGUCGCUACUACCGAUUGAAUGGCUCAGUGAGGCGUCCGGACUGGCCCAGCGAGGUGGGCAACCACCACGCAGGGCCGGAAAGCUCUCCAAACUCGGUCAUUUAGAGGAAGUAAAAGUCGUAACAAGGUCUCCGUUGGUGAACCAGCGGAGGGAUCAUUA